rnacentral:misc_RNA from 1 species
GUGCUUCAAAAACUCUUUAUUAGAAAUGGAUGGAGAUGAUACAAAAUAUAAAAGGUAUCAGAAAACAAAAUUAUGCAUGAGACUGAAGAGUGAAAGGCCUAAAAUCACCAAGCAUACCAGCAGACUUGACAUAAAUUAGGGUCCUUGGAUCCCAAUUACCAAACCAUACAUGUUUUACCAACAGAAAACAAAUAAGGCAGAAACUGAUAAAAA